CCUACGGGUGGCAGCAGUGAGGAAUAUUGGUCAAUGGGCGCGAGCCUGAACCAGCCAAGUCGCGUGAAGGAUGACUGCCCUACGGGUUGUAAACUUCUUUUAUAGAGGAAUAAAGUGAGGCACGUGUGCCUUUUUGUAUGUACUUUAUGAAUAAAGAUCGGCUAACCCCGGUCCAGCCGCCCCGGUAAUACGGUGGAUCGGAGCGGUAUCCGGAUUUUAUGGGGUUAAAGGGAGGGUAGAGGGGUUGGUAAGUCAGUUGUGAAAGUGUGGGGCUCAAACGUAAAAUUGCAAUUGAUACUGGCAGUCUUGAGUAAGGGAGAGGUAGGCGGAAUGCGUGGUGUAGCGGUGAAAUGCUUAGAUAUCACGAAGAACUCCGAUUGCGAAGGCAGCUUACUAACCUGCAACUGACAUUGAGGCUCGAAAGUGUGGGGAUCAAACAGGAUUAGAUACCCCUGUAGUC
rnacentral:rRNA from 1 species